ACGAACGCUGGCGGCGUGCUUAACACAUGCAAGUCGAACGGAAAGGCCCUGCUUUUGUGGGGUGCUCGAGUGGCGAACGGGUGAGUAACACGUGAGUAACCUGCCCUUGACUUUGGGAUAACUUCAGGAAACUGGGGCUAAUACCGGAUAGGAGCUCCUGCUGCAUGGUGGGGGUUGGAAAGUUUCGGCGGUUGGGGAUGGACUCGCGGCUUAUCAGCUUGUUGGUGGGGUAGUGGCUUACCAAGGCUUUGACGGGUAGCCGGCCUGAGAGGGUGACCGGCAAAAUGGGGAAUGGGGAACGGCCCAGACCCCAUCGGGAGGCAGAGGGGGGAAAUAUUGCAAAAGGGGGGGAAGCCUAGUGAAGCAACGCCGGGUGGGGGAUGACGGCCUUGGGGUUGAAACCCGCUUUCGCCUGUGACGAGGGGGGGGGGACGGUAAUGGGGAAAGAAGCCCCGGCUAACUACGU
rnacentral:rRNA from 1 species